rnacentral:rRNA from 1 species
AUUGAACGCUGGCGGCAGGCCUAACACAUGCAAGUCGAGCGGAUGAAGGGAGCUUGCUCCUGGAUUCCGCGGCGGACGGGUGAGUAAUGCCUAGGAAUCUGCCUGGUAUUGGGGGAUAACGUCCGGAAACGGGCGCUAAUACCGCAUACGUCCUGAGGCAGAAAGUGGGUGAUCUUCGGACCUCACGCUAUCAGAUGAGCCUAGGUCGGAUUAGCUAGUUGGUGGGGUAAAGGCCUACCAAGGCGACGAUCCGUAACUGGUCUGAGAGGCUGAUCAGUCACACUGGAACUGAGACACGGUCCAGACUCCUACGGGAGGCAGCAGUGGGGAAUAUUGGACAAUGGGCGAAAGCCUGAUCCAGCCAUGCCGCGUGUGUGAAGAAGGUCUUCGGAUUGUAAAGCACUUUAAGUUGGGAGGAAGGGCAGUAAGUUAAUACCUUGCUGUUUUGACGUUACCAACAGAAUAAGCACCGGCUAACUUCGUG